GACGUAGGUGGCGAACGUUAUCCGGAAUUAUUGGGCGUAAAGGGUGCGUAGAUGGUCUGAUAAGUUAACAGUGGUAAAAUCGAGGCUCAACCUCGUGGAAAACUGAUAAUACUGUCUGGCUCGAGUACAGAAGAGGUUAACGGAAUUCCAUGUGGAGCGGUAAAAUGCAUGAGAUAUAUGGAAGAACACCAAUAACGGCGAAGGCAGUUAACUAUUCUGUUACUGACAUUGAGGCACGAAAGCGUGGGGAGCAAAACGG
rnacentral:rRNA from 1 species